UUCUUGUAUGUGUUUAAGAAUAAUUCCAGUGAUGGGAGGAUCCAUGAGAACCAGAAGCGUUUGAAAAUUGAUAGGCCGCGGAAUAUUUUUCGGUAAAACAUCAUAUAAAGAGUGGUUAAGUCUGUUGCAAGAAAAGAAAAUGUGUUCUGUCGUUCCUUCGUCAAGACCGCACUCGCAUAAAGAGCUAUCCCGCACCCUAAUUUUUGCGAGGAAUACAGGAGUGCAUACGUGACCCAAACGAAGCCGGCAAAGUGUAGACGUGGCCCAUUUACAUGCAGAGCGAAAACGGAAGAACCAUGGUUUAUGAGUUUCAGGAUGAAUGGGGAAAUCAUUUUCAUUUUGAGCUGGUUACCAGAUACGGCUUGGAGGCAGCUUUUGGCAUCAGAGAAAAUGAUAACUUUGGGAAUUUUGUGAGACUCAACAUAUGCAACUGCUUCCAUUAAGGCAAUUGAUUCCCCAGUGAAGACGGAGGACUGUGAAGGACAUUUAUAUGAUAAAAGAAUGCGGUAUCUAGGGAUCCAGAUUGCUGCUCCCACACAGCUAUUGAGGUUCAAUUUUGAUGCAUCUGUGUAGAUUGAUACCAAAGAUGAGAGAGCCUGUAAGCGAGGAAUGAGGGGGUGGCUGGAUAUUGAACAUGCCCUCAAAACAUAUCGGUCUGCAAGGAGUUGCCUGCGGAGACAAAGAGGAGGAUCCACACACUCCACCUGCAUGCCAUUCUUUGGUGAGGAUCUCAUGGCACCAAGGAUUAUCUGAAGACAUUUGGCUUGGAUAGCAUCUAGUUUCUUGAGAGCUACUUUAUUGCAUGGUUCUAGAACAAAUGUACCAUAGUCCAUUUGGCUACGAAUUACGGCAUUGUAAACAAGUUUUUGGCAGUAGGGAUGAGCACCCCACCAGACCCCAGAAAGGGAUCGGAGCACAUUAAUGCCUUUUUCACACUUGUCAAUGACAUGCUUUAAAUGUGGAACACCAGUCAUUUUGGAGUCAAAAAUAACACCCAGAAAUUUUACACUGCUGCUGUUGGGAAUAAUCUGGUCUUCAUAUUGAAGAAUAAUAUUAGGAAUGGUAUGGCGGCGCGUAAAAGUGACUGUGCAACAUUUGGAGGGUGAAAGUGAAAGACCAUGCUCAUCCAACCAGUCUUUGAGGUACACCAGGGCCUCAUUCAAUCUAGAAGACGCUUCAUCUAAAUUGUGAACUGCGGUAUAGACAACCAAGUCAUCGGCAUAUUGCAGGAUGUUGCAGAAGGGGAGGACAGAUUGCUCAACAUCAAAUGUAUAAAGGUUAUAUAAAAGAGGGCUGAGAACGGAGCCUUGGGGGAGGCCUUGCCAUACUGUUAAAGGUGGGUAGAAGGUAUUCCCAGUUCUAAUUUUAAUGGUUCUUCCCAUGAACAGUCUGCAGACAAUUUGUACAAUUCUCGCAGGUAUGCUCAGCUGUAGCAGUUUUGCUCUGAGCAGAGAGAGUUGCACAUUGUCGUAAGCAGAUGAGAUAUCUAGGAAGCACCCAACAAGUUGCUGCUUCUUAGAGAGGGCCAGUCUAAUAUCAGAAGUUAAAAUGGUUAAGCUGUCCAAGGUACUUCUUCCCUUGCGGAAUCCAAAUUGGGUAUUAGCUAGAAUUCCUUUAUUCUCAACCAACCAUUCCACUCUGUUCUUCACCAAGUGUUCAAAAAUCUUUCCUAUUGUUGCAGAUAAUGCGAUAGGGCGGUAGGAAGAUGCUUGGCGAGGAUCUUUGCCUGGCUUCAAGAUUGGGAUUACUACUUGGGACUUCCAAUCCUCAGGGACUUCGCCAGACAUGAAGAACAAAUUGAAGAGUUUUAGAAGGUGGUCUUUGGAAGGGGGGCUCAAUUUUUGGAUGAAGCAAUACGGAAUUCCAUCUUCUCCAGGUGAGCUGUUACGGAGACCGGUUAGAACCAUGUCAAGUUCUGAGAUAGAAAAGGGGUUGUCUAAUGGAACUAGAUGUGAAGCGGAAACUGGAUUUAUACACCACUCUUCUGGGACAGAUGGAGGGGCCAGUUUGUUUGCAAAUUCUUCCAGCCAGGUAGAAGGAUCGCAAGAUGAUGAGGGAUCGGACUUAAAAGAUCCUCGAAAUUUUUUGAUAUUUCUCCAAACCAGUGAAGAUGGGGUUCUGGGAUUAAGGCUUUCGCAAAAUCCUUUCCAUCCCUUCUUUUUUGUUUUGUUAAGAAGGCGUUUGGUUUGGGCAGAGAUUUUUUUAAAAGAAGUAAAAUCUGCAGUGAGUCCAGUCAAAUUAUACCUCCGUUCUGCAUCGUCUCUCUCCUUAACUGCUGCAGUGCAGUCCGAAUUCCACCAAGGUGGAGAUGGUAAUUUAGAACUAGAAGGUUUUUUCUUAGGAAUAUGAUUAUCAGCUGCUUCUAGAAUUAUAGAUUUAAACAAGGAAUACUUUUCAAGGGGACUUAUUACAUGAUCUAAUACUUUUAAUUUAUCCUCAACUUGAGCUGAGUAAUUGGGCCAAUCAGCCUUAUCAAGCUUAUAUUUUAAAAGAGGUUCCGGAGAUGGAAGAGGCGAUACUGAAGAUGGCUUAGAAAUUAUUAUAGGAAAGUGAUCACUUCCGAAAGAUUGAUUUAGAACCUGAUAGGAGAGCAGACUAGAAAGAUUAGGAGAGCAAGCAGACAGAUCUAAGACCGACUUGGGGUUCUGGCCAGGGUAUACUCGGUGAGUGGGAGUACCAUCAUUAAUUAUUAUUACAUUGAUAUCAUCAAACAGGUCAAUGAGAAAUGAG